rnacentral:tRNA from 1 species
GGCUCGGUGGGCUAGGGGUAUGAUUCUCGCUUAGGGUGCGAGAGGUCCCGGGUUCAAAUCCGGCCGAGCCC